UCAAGUGAAUAAGUGCAUGUGGUGGAUGCCUUGGCGAUUACAGGCGAUGAAGGACGUUGUAGCCUGCGAAAAGCUGCGGGGAGCUGGCAAACAAGCUUUGAUCCGCAGAUGUCCGAAUGGGGAAACCCACCCGCAAGGGUAUCGAUGGCUGAAUACAUAGGUCAUCGAGGCGAACGUGGCGAACUGAAACAUCUAAGUAGCCACAGGAAAAGAAAUCAACCGAGAUUCCGAAAGUAGUGGCGAGCGAAAUCGGAGCAGCCUGUGCGUGAUAGUCGAUGCGUUAGCGAAACGGCAUGGAAAGGCCGGCCAUAGCGGGUGAUAGCCCCUUGCGCGAAAACGGAUCGGUGGUACUGAGCGCACGACAAGUAGGGCGGGACACGUGUAAUCCUGUCUGAAGAUGGGGGGACCAUCCUCCAAGGCUAAAUACUCGUAAUCGACCGAUAGUGAACAAGUACUGUGAAGGAAAGGCGAAAAGAACCCCGGGAGGGGAGUGAAAUAGAUCCUGAAACCGCAUGCAUACAAACAGUCGGAGCCUCGCAAGGGGUGACGGCGUACCUUUUGUAUAAUGGGUCAGCGACUUACGUUCAGUGGCAAGCUUAACCAGAUAGGGGAGGCGCAGGGAAACCGAGUCCGAACAGGGCGCCAUAGUCGCUGGGCGUAGACCCGAAACCAGGUGAUCUAUCCAUGGUCAGGAUGAAGGUUGGGUAACACCAGCUGGAGGUCCGAACCGACUAAUGUUGCAAAAUUAGCGGAUGAACUGUGGAUAGGGGUGAAAGGCUAAUCAAACCUGGAAAUAGCUGGUUCUCCCCGAAAACUAUUUAGGUAGUGCGUCAUGUAUUGCUCCAGGGGGUAGAGCACUGUAAUGGUUGUGGGGGCCAUCGCGGCUUACCACGCCAUAGCAAACUCCGAAUACCUGGAAGUAUGAGCAUGGCAGACAGUCGCCGGGUGCUAACGUCCGGCGGCAAGAGGGAAACAACCCAGACCUACAGCUAAGGUCCCAAAGUGUGGCUAAGUGGGAAACGAAGUGGGAAGGCUAAAACAGUCAGGAUGUUGGCUUAGAAGCAGCCAUCAUUUAAAGAAAGCGUAAUAGCUCACUGAUCGAGUCGUCCUGCGCGGAAGAUGUAACGGGGCUAAGCCAUGCACCGAAGCUUGGGCUGUACUCUUUGAGUACGGGGUAGGGGAGCGUUCUGUAAGCCUGUGAAGGUGUCUCGCAAGGGAUGCUGGAGGUAUCAGAAGUGCGAAUGCUGACAUGAGUAGCGUUAAAGCGGGUGAAAAGCCCGCUCGCCGUAAGCGCAAGGUUUCCUACGCAACGUUCAUCGGCGUAGGGUGAGUCGGCCCCUAAGGUGAGGGCGAAAGCCAUAGCUGAUGGGAAGCUGGUUAAUAUUCCAGCACCGAUUCCAGUGCGAUGGGGGGACGGAUCGUGGAAGGUUGUCCGGGUGUUGGAUGUCCCGGUUCCUGACCUGUAGGUGUCUGGCAGGCAAAUCCGCCAGGCGCAUGCCGAGGGGUUGGGACGAGUGAGCUUGCUCGCGAAGCAACUGGAAGUGGUUCCAAGAAAAGCCUCUAAGCUUCAGCUGGAAAUCGACCGUACCGCAAACCAACACUGGUGCGCGAGAUGAGUAUUCUCAGGCGCUUGAGAGAACUCGGGAGAAGGAACUCGGCAAAUUGACACCGUAACUUCGGAAGAAGGUGUGCCCUGGUAGCUUGAGUGUGAACAACACGAGGGCCAAGGGGUUGCAAAAAAUAGGUGGCUGCGACUGUUUAUUAAAAACACAGCACUCUGCAAACACGAAAGUGGACGUAUAGGGUGUGACGCCUGCCCGGUGCCGGAAGGUUAAGUGAUGGGGUGCAAGCUCUUGAUCGAAGCCCCGGUAAACGGCGGCCGUAACUAUAACGGUCCUAAGGUAGCGAAAUUCCUUGUCGGGU
rnacentral:rRNA from 1 species